AUGCUUUGGAAGAAGCUUGUACAGUUUGGGAAGGGGUUUUUUGAGAGAAAAGAAGAAUCUACUUCAACCGAUAUGCCCUUAGGCACGACCAUGCAUAACAUAGAAAUCACACGUGGAAGGGGUGGGCAAUUAGCUAGAGCAGCAGGUGCUGUAGCGAAACUCAUUGCAAAAGAGGGUAAAUCGGCCACUUUAAGAUUACCAUCUGGGGAGGUCCGUUUAGUAUCCCAAAACUGCUUAGCAACAGUCGGACAAGUGGGUAAUGUUGGGGUGAACCAAAAAAGUUUGGGUAGAGCCGGAUCUAAGUGUUGGCUAGGUAAACGCCCCAUAGUAAGAGGGGUAGUUAUGAACCCUGUGGACCACCCCCAUGGGGGCGGUGAAGGGAAAGCUCCCAUUGGUAGAAAAAAACCCACAACCCCUUGGGGUUAUCCUGCGCUUGGAAGAAGAACUAGGAAAAGGAAAAAAUAUAGCGAUAGUUUUAUUCUUCGUCGCCGUAAGUAA
rnacentral:rRNA from 1 species